UGUUAAAAUUUUCAUCUAAUUCUACCGUUAAAAACUUAUGUGACUGAUAGAAUAACUAGACAAAUAUGGCACGUCACAUGUAUCUCAUUCUAAUGUACAGGGACCAGUAUUUAAAAAUAGAAAUAGAUGAAAUUUUUAACA
rfam:Gossypium hirsutum cultivar TM-1 chromosome 2, whole genome shotgun sequence